UGCGCAGGCGGACUUUUAAGUCAGUGGUGAAAUCCCGAGGCUCAACCUCGGAACUGCCAUUGAUACUGGAAGUCUUGAAUUUGGUCGAAGUGGGCGGAAUGUAGCAUGUAGCGGUGAAAUGCUUAGAUAUGCUACAGAACACCGAUCGCGAAGGCAGCUCACUAAGCCAAUAUUGACGCUCAGGCACGAAAGCGUGGGGAGCGAACAGGAUUAGAUACCCUGGUAGUCC
rnacentral:rRNA from 1 species